GCGGGGGUGGCCCAGUGGCUACGGCGGGAGCCUGCAGAGCUCUUAUUCGAGGGUUCGAGUCCCUCUCCCCGCU
rnacentral:tRNA from 1 species